GGGUGCGAUCAUACCAGCGUUAAUGCACCGGAUCCCAUCAGAACUCCGCAACUAAGCGCGCUUGGGCUAGAGUAGUACUGGGAUGGGUGACCUCCCGGGAAGUCCUAGUGUUGCACCCUG
rnacentral:rRNA from 1 species